UUUAUGAGUAAUGCUUCUAUACUUUUUUUUUUUGGUUACCAUUCAUUCACGCGUAUUCAACGACUCAGAUUUAGUUUUUUUAAAAUUGUGACCUGCAAUAGCAGGUCACUUUGGGAGAGGUACCGGUUACCAGGUACCUCAAAAAAGGAUAUUUUUGUCUUUUAAUACAUGGGCAAUUUAGUCAUUUUACAUCUACUAUAUUUUCAAAAUUUUUAUUUUUUCUUUGUUUCCUUUUUCUCUCUCUAUCUUUCCUUUCAUAAUUUGGCAUUUCAUAUAAAAAAAAUUUCAAAUGAUUUGACAAUAUGAUCAUUGAAUUUAAACUUUAAAUAGUAAUAUGA
rnacentral:lncRNA from 1 species